GCAGUCCGACGUGAAAGGGGAGCAAUCCCCCGGUAGGGUGGCAAACGGGUGAGUAAGACAUGGGUGAUCUGCCCUGGAGAUGGGGAUAUCCCUCCGAAAGGGGGGGCAAUACCGAAUAGUAUCCGGUUCCGUGAAGGGGACCGGGGAAAGGGAGGCCUCUGGUACAAGCUUCCGCUCCUGGAUGAGCCCAUGGCCCAUCAGCUAGUUGGUAGGGUAAAGGCCUACCAAGGCGACGACGGGUAGCUGGUCUGAGAGGACAACCAGCCACACUGGCACUGAGACACGGGCCAGACUCCUACGGGAGGCAGCAGUGAGGAAUAUUGCGCAAUGGGGGCAACCCUGACGCAGCAACGCCGCGUGUGGGAAGAAGGCUUUCGGGUUGUAAACCACUUUUGCCCGGGACGAAAAGGGAUGUCAGAACACGGCAUUUCGAUGACGGUACCGGGAGAAUAAGCCACGGCUAACUCUGUGCCAGCAGCCGCGGUAAGACAGAGGUGGCAAGCGUUGUUCGGAAUUACUGGGCGUAAAGAGUCUGUAGGUGGUUUGUCAAGUCUUUGGUGAAAGGCCGUGGCUUAACCAUGGGAAUGCCAAAGAGACUGGCAGACUGGAGGCUGGGAGAGGGAAGCGGAAUUUCUGGUGUA
rnacentral:rRNA from 1 species